ACACUCCUACGGGAGGCAGCAGUGGGGAAUAUCGCACAAUGGGCGCAAGCCUGAUGCAGCCAUGCCGCGUGUAUGAAGAAGGCCUUCGGGUUGUAAAGUACUUUCAGCGGGGAGGAAGGCGAUAAGGUUAAUAACCUUGUCGAUUGACGUUACCCGCAGAAGAAGCACCGGCUAACUCCGUGCCAGCAGCCGCGGUAAUAAGGAGGGUGCAAGCGUUAAUCGGAAUUACUGGGCGUAAAGCGCACGCAGGCGGUCUGUCAAGUCGGAUGUGAAAUCCCCGGGCUCAACCUGGGAACUGCAUGCGAAACGGGCAGGCUAGAGUCUUGUAGAGGGGGGUAGAAUUCCAGGUGUAGCGGUGAAAUGCGUAGAGAUCUGGAGGAAUACCGGUGGCGAAGGCGGCCCCCUGGACAAAGACUGACGCUCAGGUGCGAAAGCGUGGGGAGCAAACAGGAUUAGAUACCCUGGUAGUCCC
rnacentral:rRNA from 1 species